UUAGAAGAGUUAGGGCAGUGGCCCAUAUACAAUUCAAAUUGAAUUGGGAAAAAUAAUAUAUUAUAUAUUGACAAAAAAGGCUUUUGUCAUCAAAGGAUUAAGAAGGCAAAGGUUAGGAGCAACUAAGGCAGUAACUAAUCUGCCAAUCACGCUGAAAAGGAAAAAAAAUCAAUUGUUCCUUCAGUUAAAAGAAAAGAAAGGUUUAAUGUUGAUUGGAAAAUUCUUUCAGGUUUAAGGUAAAUUCGUUGUUAUAUCUUUAUCGUGAUUUUUAGCUUUGGUAAUUUAUUUUGGAUAGUAAAAUUUAAUUAUCAAAGAUGGGUUUAAGCAUUUUAAGGUGUGAUUUUGGACAUGAAAUUUGAGAAAAUGAAGGUUACCAUGGAAACCUAAGGGUUGAGUAGUCUAAUUUUAUCAUGGAAUUACCCUAAAUAAGAGAAUUAACUUGAGAUUUGAUAUGAUAUGAUUUUAGAUUCGAUCGAAGGNNNNNNNNNNNNNNNNNNNNNNNNNNNNNNNNNNNNNNNNNNNNNNNNNNNNNNNNNNNNNNCACCUGAGAUUAAGUAUUUUUGAUAUAUGUUUUAUUCAAGUUCACAUGUAUUAUUAUUGAUAUGAAUUUUAAAGUUAUGUUCUAUUCUGAAAGAUGUUUUCAUACGAAUAUCCUAUUGUUUUCAAAGAAUUUAUGAAUGGGAGUAGACCUUGAUUGAAUCCCAUAGCUAACGGCGAGAUCGUUAGACCUGGUACACCUUAUAUUUACUGAUGAAUGUUAUAGCCCUCGCUAGUGGGAAGGUAGAACUAGAAUACUGUUACUGAUAUGAUAUGGGACUCCUUUAUGAGGGAUCCACUGUUAUGGGUUACUCUUAACAAAGAAGAAUGUCACACUGAUUACAUGAUUCAUUCUUGAAAACCUCCCAAAUAUGUAAUAUUUGAUAUGAUACGAUGCUUUAUGAGUUUAUUACUGAACCAUUGGUUCACUUCUCUUACAUGAAACAAUGAUACUGUUUAUUGUUACUAUUUUCUGAAAGAGAAUUUAUUUCAUAAUAUUUUCUAACUUGUCCCCAUUAAAACGGUUAUGGUUAAGUGUUAUUACUCACUGAGCUAGCGUCUCACUCCUCGCUAUUAUUUUUCAGAGAAUGUAGGUGACGGUGAGGAUCUCGUUGGCUAGAGGAUUCAGUAGCAUAUUCCUGGUGAGCCCCGCAUUUGUUCGUGUGGGCUAUAGUUUAUUUAUUCGUUAUGUUUCUUUUUCUUGAAAACUCUUAGUUUGAUCCAUAGUCAUGUCUUUAGAGUUUUGAGUAUUCUUUCAUUAUUUUGAAUUUGUGGAGCAAUUGACGUCCUUUUAUUUUUGGAGAUAGAUUUCGUAUUGAUAUUGGUGGUGUUGGUGCCUUGUUGAUGGUUUGUGAUGGAUUGUGUUGGUGUGAUUGAUGUGUUGGUUGUGGGGCUUUUGAAUUGAGAUAGGAAAUUUUCUUGAUAAGCCCAAAAACAAAGGAAACUCUGCCCGAUUUUCUGUAGAACUCUGAUGAGGCUUACUUUGGAGUCCUAAACUCCUUAGCGCCGGUCAUGAUCCUAUUUUGGGUCGCAAAAAAGUUGGUAUCAGAGAUAGGUUAGGUUAAUUCGAUGACUAUGGAGCACACGAUAGUAGUAGAAUCUCAAUUAUGGUUAUGUUGCUGGCCAUUUCUAUAAUCGUGAUUUUGUGAGAGCGUAAUAAGAUGUGUCUUGAUCUUUUUUCUUAUUAUUUUGUACGUGUGUGACAUUUAGGAUCAAUUAGGUGAAUCUAACUAUCUUAUUUUGCCAAUCAGAUGGUUCGUAGAGCAUCUAAAAAAGGUGGAGCCCAUCAAAGGAGCCAAGGUAGGGGUAGUCGUGAUACCACAGGGAAUAGCACUGCCACUCCAAGAAGUUCAAGAGAGCCUACUCCUGAAAAGAAUGAUAGUCCACCUCCACCAUUUCAUGAGAGUAGUACUGCUGAGGUACUUACUUCCAUGCAAAGAGCCAUAGAAGGCUUGGCCGACCGAUUGGAUAGAUAGGAGAGGGGUGGUCAACGCAAUUUUACACAGUUCCAGGCACCUGUUCAGACUUACAAAUUUGGAAACAAGGAGGUUUCUUUGCAGGAGUUUCUAAAGUGAAAGUCACCAAAAUUCACAGGUUCAGACAGUUUAACUGAUCCUUAGAGCUUUUUGGAUGGUACAUUCAAGGUGUUGCGUACGUUAGGGUGUUUUAGUGAGAGGGUUGUAGAGCUUGCAUCGUACAAGUUGGAGGACACGGAUAACACUUGGUAUGAAACUUUAUUGCUAGAAAGGCCUACAGGAGCAACACCUCUGACAUGGGAUGAGUUCACUAAGUUCUUCAUGGAUACCUUUUUUCCUGAAAGUCAGAAACAAAAAAUAUGUAGCUCAGUUUGAGAUAUUGGUUCAGACUCCAGAUAUGGAUGUGUCGACCUAUAAUACUAUGUUUUGCAAAUUGGCUAGAUAUGCUCCAUACUUGAUGUCCACGAAAUCAGCUCGAGUCCAAAGGUUUGUAAAUGGGCUGGUUGCUCAUCUUUAUAAUGUAGUGGCCCCACAGAUAAAAGUCUUGACCUAUUAUGAGAUAGUAGAUCUUGCUAGAAUGAUUGAGGAGAAGGGUCGUGCAGAGCGGGCAGCUUAUGAGGUUCGUAAGAAGGCUAAGAUGAGUGGAUCUUUCAGUGGUGACUUAAGUGUAAAUUGGAGAGCAAAAAAUAAGGGAAAGAAUCAGAGCCAUCAGACAGGGACAGAUUUGGUUUCACAGUUUGCGUAUAAGCCACCUUCUAGACAGGGUACCCAGGGGUCUUCAGCAUCUAAGGGAUAUUGUAGUUCGGGCCAGAUCUAUGCCACUACUCCAUCCUGCCAUACUUGUGGCAAAUUGCAUAUGGGUCAGUGUCGUGUUUUGACUGGAGAGUAUUUUCGAUGUGGACAAAUAGGUCAUUGCAUCAGGGAUUGCCUUCAGUUUCAGAGAAAUGCUAGUCAGGGUUAUGGUCAGGUAGCUGCACCGAUUCAGGCUACUCGUAAUCCUAUAGGUACGGGAAAUAGAGGCCGAGGUAAUGGAGAACGGGUUUUUGGAAACCAGGCACAAGAAAAUAUUGGUAGAGGCCAACUGAGAAUCUUUGCACUUACUAGACAGGAUGUUCAGGCCUCGAAUGCAGCGGGUACAGGUAUUCUUUCUGUUUGUUCUUUUGAUCCAUAUGCUUUGAUUGAUCCGGGUUCUACCCACUCUUAUUGUCUUCAUAUUUUGUUGUGAGAUUUGAUAAAUAGCCUGAGAUGUUAGAUUGUCCUUUUCUUAUUGCAACUCCCAUGGGAGAUUCCUUAUUAGUUGAAUAUGUGUACCGUGAUUGCAAGAUUCUAGUGGGAGGUAGGGAUACCCCUGCUGACUUGAUUAUACUUGAUAUGAUUGACUUUGAUGUAUUGAUAGGCAUGGAUUGGUUAUAUCCUUGCUAUGCUACCAUAGAUUGUCAUACAAAUAUAGUUAGAUUUGAGAUACCCAACAAAUCUAGUUUUGUAUUAGAAGGGGGUCAAGUUCCAGAGGUUAGCAAAAUUGUAUCUUUUAUGAAGACCCAAUGACUAUUGAAGAAAGGUUGCCUGGUUUUCUUGGCUAUGAUGAGUGAUGUUGGAGAGGAAGUCCUUAGUUUGGAGGAGCUAUCUGUGGUGAAGAAAUUUUUUGAUGUAUUUCCUGAGGAGUUACCAGGAUUACCUCUAGUACGAGAGAUAGACUUCGGUAUUGAAUUGGCACCUGACACUAUUCCAAUAACUAUACCCCAUAUCGUAUGGCACCAGUAGAAUUGAAGGAGAUCAAACAACUGUUGCAAGACUUGCUAGAUAAGAGUUUCUUCAGACCGAGUAUAUCACCAUGGGGUGCACCAGUUUUGUUUGUAAAGAAAAAAGAUGGAUCUUUAAGGAUGUGUACUGACUACAGGCAACUAAACAGAGUAACAAUACGUAAAAAGUAUCUGUUGCCUCGUAUAGAGGACCUAUUUGAUCAGUUACAAGGGGUUGUCCAUUUUUCAAAGAUUGAUCUUUGGUCUGAUUAUCAUCAGCUAAGAAUCAAGGAGGAAGAUAUAUCCAAGACAACAUUCAGAACUCGAUAUGGGCAUUAUGAGUUCCUUGUGAUGCCUUUCGGGUUAAUCAAUGCUCCUGCUGCAUUCAUGGACUUGAUGCAUAGGGUGUUCAGGCCGUAUUUUGGACAAAUUUGUGGUAGUAUUUAUUAAUGAUAUUUUGAUAUAUUCUCGUAGCCAGGAAGAACAUGAGAAUCAUUUGGUGACUGUAUUGCAGACAUUGCGGGAACAUAAGCUUUAUGUUAAGUUCUCAAAAUGCGAAUUUUGGCUCGACUCAAUAUCCUUUUUGGGGCAUAUUAUCUCCAAAGAAGGUAUCACGGUGGAUUCUAAAAAAAUAGAAGCAGUGCAGAAAUGGACUAAGACUACUUCACCCACAUAGAUUUGUAGCUUUAUAGGUUUGGCUAAUUACUAUAGGCGUUUUGUGCAGGAUUUCUCUAAAAUUGAAGCUCCAUUUACUAGGUUAACACAGAAAGAUGUGAAGUUCCAGUGGACAGAAAAAUGUGAUCAGAUCUUCCAGAAACUCAAAACACGUUUGACCACUGCACCAAUAUUAGCCUUACCAUCAAGCUCUAGAGGAUUCAAGGUAUUUUGUGAUACUUCGAGGGUUGGAUUAUGAUGUGUUCUCAUGCAACAUGAUAAUGUUAUUGCUUAUGCUUCGAGGCAGUUGAAGAAGCACGAGAUGAACUAUCCUACACAUGAUUUGGAGAUGGCCGUUGUGGUUUUUUCAUUUAAGAUUUAGAGGCAUUACUUAUAUGGUGAAACUUAUAAGAUUUAUACCAAUCAUAAAAGUUUUAAGUAUAUUUUUCAGCAGCGAGAUCUAAAUCUUAGACAGCAUCGGUGGAUGGAAUUACUCAAAGAUUAUGAUUGUGCCAUCUUGUAUCAUCCAAGAAAAGCUAAUGUAGUGGCUGAUGCUUUGAGUAGGAAAUAUAUGGGUAGUUUGGCACAUAUAGCUCUUGGAAAGAGGUAGUUGGAGAAAGAUGUGCAAAAACUUGAAGGCAAAGGUGUCUGUUUUGGUGUUAGAAGUUCAGGGGUAUUGUUUUCUUGUGUUCAAGCUAAAUCUUCUUUGCUAGAGUGCAUAAAGACCAUUCAAUUUAAGGAUAUGUAGUUCUGUAAAUAUCAAGAUGAGGUCCUAGCUGGUCAAAGUAAGACGAUGAGUGUUGAUUGUGAUGGUAUUCUUCGAGUGGGUAAUCGAUUAUGUGUACUAGCUAUAGAUGGGUUAAGAUGAGUUAUUCUUAAGGAAGCUUACAACUCCAGAUAUACCAUUCACCCUGGUUCUACUAAGAUGUAUCAUGAUCUGAAGCAGUUGUACUGGAGGAAAGGUAUGAAGAAAGAUGUUGCAAACUUUGUUUCUAGUUUCUUGACUUGUCAACAGGUUAAAGCGGAGCAUCAACGACUAGCAGGAUUAUUGCAAGAGAUAAGGAUUCCAGAUUGGAAAUUGGAAAGAGUUACCAUGGAUUUUACCAUCGGUCUUCCUCGAACCAUUAAAGGCCAUGACUCUGUAUGGGUAAUUGUAGAUCGGCUUACUAAGUCUGCUCACUUCCUGCCAGUAAAGACUUCAUAUAGUGGAGUGAAAUAUGCUCAGUUAUUUAAGAAUGAAAUUAUCCAACUUCAUGGAGUUCCACUAUCCAUCAUUUCUGACAGAGGAUCACAGUUCACUUCACGCUUUUGGAAAUCUUUCUAAGAAUCAUUGGGUACCUGAGUAGAUCUUAGUAAUGCAUUUCAUCUGUAGACGAACGGACAGUCUGAGCGUACUAUACAAAUUUUGGAGAAUAUGUUGAGAGACUGCAUUCUUGACUUUGGAGGUAGUUGGGAUACUUACUUUCCCUUAGCAGAAUUCUCUUAUAAUAAUAAUAAUUUUUAGUCAAGCAUUCAGAUGGCUCCAUAUGAAGCCUUGUAUGGUAGACGAUGUCGUUCUACUAUCGGAUGGUUUAAAGUUGGAGAGGCUAAGGUUUUAGGACCAGACUUGGUAUAGGAUGCUAUGGACAAGGUCCAAUUGAUUAGACAGAGGUUGCUCACAGCUCAAAGCAUACAAAAGUCGUAUGCUGACAUGAGAAGAAGAGAUUUGGUGUUCAAAGUUGGGGAUAAGGUUUUUAUAUGAGUCUCUCCUAUGAAAGGUGUGACGUGAUUCAGAAAAAAAGGUAAAUUAAGCCCAAGGUAUGUAGGACCUUAUGAGAUACUUGAGUGUAUAGGAGGAGUGGCGUAUCGAGUGGCACUCCCUCCCGAGAUGUCUUUCGUCCAGUGAUUCAUGUCUCUAUGCUAAGGAAGUGUAUAUCAGAUUCUUUGCGCGUACUCGAAGCACCAACCUUGCAACUUGAUGAGAACUUAACCUAUGAGGAGGAACCUGUGGCUAUCAUUGAUCGACAAGUAAGAAGGUUACGAUCGAAAGAGUUGGUGUCCGUGAAAGUCUUAUGGAAGAAUCAUACCAUCGAAGAAGCAACGUGGGAGUCAAAAAAAGAUAUGAGACUCAAGUACCCUCAAUUGUUUCAGUCUUCAGGUAUGCACUUACUCUAAAUUUGGGGACCGAAUUUCUUAAGGUGGGGAGAAUGUAAUACCCCAAAUUGGAAAAAAAUAUUUUAUAAGAGAUAUGGGCUAAAGCCCAUAUUAAUAAGAAAUAGAAUUUAGAAGAGUUAGGGUCGUGGCCCAUAUCCAAUUCAAAUUGAAUUGGGGAAAACAAUAUAUUAUAUAUUGACAAAAAGGGCUUUUGCCAUCAAAGGAUUAAGAAGGCAAAGGUUAGGAGCAACUAAGGCAGUAACUAAUCUGCCAAUCACGCUGAAGGGGGAAAAAAAUUAAUUGUUCCUUCAGUUAAAAGAAAAGAAAGGUUUAAGGUUGAUUGGAAAAUUCUUUCGGGUUUAAGGUAAAUUCGUUCUUAUAUCUUUAUCGUGAUUUUUAGCUUUGAUAGUUUAUUUUGGGUAGUAAAAUUUAACUAUCAAAGAUGGGUUUAAGCAUUUUAAGGUGUGAUUUUGGACAUGAAAUUUGAGAAAAUGAAGGUUACCAUGGAAACCUAAGGGUUGAGUAGUCUAAUUUUAUCAUGGAAUUACCCUAAAAAAGAGAAUUAACUUGAGAUUUGAUAUGAUAUGAUUUUAGAUUCGAUCGAAGAGAGUCCUAUCAAUUGUUCGAGGUGACAAGUUGGUAUUUCGAAAAUUGUACUGUGAGUAGUAAUCUUAUCAUAAUCUGUUUUUGUUAACUUGCAUAUUUUAUUCUUGAUUUUGAUGAAAUAAUGAGUAACGAAAUGCUUUGGAAUUGCAUGUGGGGCAAGUCUUUUACUUGAUAUGAUAUUGAAAUGGUUAUUUGAUAUAUGAUAUUAUUACGAUGAAUAUUCUUUACUUACCUGAGAUUAAGUAUUUUUGAUAUAUGCUUUAUUCAAGUUCACAUGUAUUAUUAUUGAUAUGAAUUUUAAAGUCAUGUUCUAUUCUGAAAGAUGUUUUCAUAUGAAUAUCCUAUUGUUUCCGAAGAAUUUAUGAAUGGGAGUAGACCUUGAUUGAAUCCCAUAGCUAACAGCGAGAUCGUUAAACCUGGUGCACCUUGUAUUUACUGAUGAAUGUUAUAGCCCUCGCUAGUGGGAAGGUAGAACUAGAAUACUGUUACUGAUAUGAUAUGGGACUCCUUUAUCAGGGAUCCACGGUUAUGGGUUAUUCUUAACAAAGAAGAAUGUCACACUGAUUACAUGAUUCAUUCUUGGAAACCUCCCAAAUAUGUAAUAUUUGAUAUGAUACGAUGCUUUAUGAGUUUAUUACUGAACCAUUGAUUCACUUCUCUUACAUGAAACAAUGAUACUGUUUAUUGUUACUAUUUUCUGAAAGAGAAUUUAUUUCAUAAUAUUUUCUGACUUGUCCCCAUUAAAACGGUUAUGGUUAAGUGUUAUUACUCACUAAGCUAGCGUCUCACUUCUCGCUAUUAUUUUUCAGAGAACGCAGGUGACGGUGAGGAUCUCGUUGGCUAGAGGAUUCGAGUAGCAUAUUCCUGGUGAGCCCCACAUUUGUUCGCGUGGGCUAUAGUUUAUUUAUUCGUUAUGUUUCUUUUUCUUGAAAACUCUUAGUUUGAUCCAUAGUCAUAUCUUUAGAGUUUUGAGUAUUCUUUCAUUAUUUUGAAUUUGUGGAGCAAUUGACGUCCUUUUAUUUUUGG
rnacentral:lncRNA from 1 species